UACGGGGGGGGCAAGCGUUGUUCGGAAUUACUGGGCGUAAAGGGCUCGUAGGCGGCCAACUAAGUCGGACGUGAAAUCCCCAGGCUCAACCUGGGAACUGCGUCCGAUACUGGAUGGCUUGAAUCCGGGAGAGGGAUGCAGAAUUCCAGGUGUAGCGGUGAAAUGCGUAGAUAUCUGGAGGAAUACCGGUGGCGAAGGCGGCAUCCUGGACCGAGAUUGACACUGAUGAGCGAAAGCCAGGGGAGCAAACGGG
rnacentral:rRNA from 1 species